UGUCUCAAAAAACAAAACAAAACAAAACAAAAACAGUAUAUUCAUAAGACAUUCAUCAUGUGACCAAUGAAAAAAGUCAGUUAUUUUACAUUCUUAUUUUCAUAUUAGGCCUUUGAAAUUUUAUGUGUAUUUUACACCUGUAGCACCUGUGAAUUCAGACCAGCCACAUUUCAAAUGCUGGAAGGCCACGCAGGAUCUCACUCAGUCAUCCAGGAUGGAGUGCAGUGAUGUAACAUAGCUCACUGUGGCAUCCAGCCCUUGGGUUCAACUGGUCCUGCCACCUCAUCUUGCUGCAGUAUCUGGAACUACAGAAAAAAAAAAAAAAAGAAGAAGAUGAUGAAUCCAAAAGCAACACAAGUGAUUGUGGUGUCAUUUCUACAUACACAUCCAGCACGGUCUCAGCACGAUCAUCUGGAAAUCUUAAGAGGCAACGUCACAUAUUACUAUUGAAAAAAUGAUGCCUCCCUGGAAAAUUUAGGGCAAUGAUUGUGAAUGUGUUGCUAAUUGUAAAUGCUGCACGUAUUAUGGUAACGUCUGCAGAAGGAAAAAGAGAUUCCUGUUUUCUUUCCUGAACUGCCCACGUUCCUGUGACAUCAUCCACAAUCGCCAGGAAAGCUCCAUCAGGUCGCCUGCAUUGCGUCAGCACCUCCUCCUCCUCCCUGGAAGGGAUUCUUGCGGAUCUGCACUCUCUCGUUGCCCACCCGUCCCUACAUCAGCACGAUCCUGGUAUCAAGCACUCCUGGACUCCAAGAUUUCAAUUUGCACACACCCACACUUACGAAAUUUUGAAAUUAAAGAAAUAAAGUGGCCGGGCGCGGUGGCUCACGCCUGUAAUCCUAGCUCUCUGGGAGGC